GACCAUCUCACAUUGAAACACUAGUUCCCUUACAAUCACUGAAGUUAAGCAACAUUGAGCCUGGUCAGUACCUAGAUGGGUGACCACUUGGUAAUAUCAGUGGCUGUAAG